rnacentral:rRNA from 1 species
AGUCAGAGGCGAUGAAGGACGUGCUAAUCUGCGAUAAGCGUCGGUAAGGUGAUAUGAACCGUUAUAACCGGCGAUUUCCGAAUGGGGAAACCCAGUGUGUUUCGACACACUAUCAUUAACUGAAUCCAUAGGUUAAUGAGGCGAACCGGGGGAACUGAAACAUCUAAGUACCCCGAGGAAAAGAAAUCAACCGAGAUUCCCCCAGUAGCGGCGAGCGAACGGGGAGCAGCCCAGAGCCUGAAUCAGUGUGUGUGUUAGUGGAAGCGUCUGGAAAGGCGCGCGAUACAGGGUGACAGCCCCGUACACAAAAAUGCACAUGCUGUGAGCUCGAUGAGUAGGGCGGGACACGUGGUAUCCUGUCUGAAUAUGGGGGGACCAUCCUCCAAGGCUAAAUACUCCUGACUGACCGAUAGUGAACCAGUACCGUGAGGGAAAGGCGAAAAGAACCCCGGCGAGGGGAGUGAAAAAGAACCUGAAACCGUGUACGUACAAGCAGUGGGAGCCUCUUUUAUGGGGUGACUGCGUACCUUUUGUAUAAUGGGUCAGCGACUUAUAUUCUGUAGCAAGGUUAACCGAAUAGGGGAGCCGAAGGGAAACCGAGUCUUAACUGGGCGUUAAGUUGCAGGGUAUAGACCCGAAACCCGGUGAUCUAGCCAUGGGCAGGUUGAAGGUUGGGUAACACUAACUGGAGGACCGAACCGACUAAUGUUGAAAAAUUAGCGGAUGACUUGUGGCUGGGGGUGAAAGGCCAAUCAAACCGGGAGAUAGCUGGUUCUCCCCGAAAGCUAUUUAGGUAGCGCCUCGUGAAUUCAUCUCCGGGGGUAGAGCACUGUUUCGGCAAGGGGGUCAUCCCGACUUACCAACCCGAUGCAAACUGCGAAUACCGGAGAAUGUUAUCACGGGAGACACACGGCGGGUGCUAACGUCCGUCGUGAAGAGGGAAACAACCCAGACCGCCAGCUAAGGUCCCAAAGUCAUGGUUAAGUGGGAAACGAUGUGGGAAGGCCCAGACAGCCAGGAUGUUGGCUUAGAAGCAGCCAUCAUUUAAAGAAAGCGUAAUAGCUCACUGGUCGAGUCGGCCUGCGCGGAAGAUGUAACGGGGCUAAACCAUGCACCGAAGCUGCGGCAGCGACGCUUAUGCGUUGUUGGGUAGGGGAGCGUUCUGUAAGCCUGUGAAGGUGUGCUGUGAGGCAUGCUGGAGGUAUCAGAAGUGCGAAUGCUGACAUAAGUAACGAUAAAGCGGGUGAAAAGCCCGCUCGCCGGAAGACCAAGGGUUCCUGUCCAACGUUAAUCGGGGCAGGGUGAGUCGACCCCUAAGGCGAGGCCGAAAGGCGUAGUCGAUGGGAAACAGGUUAAUAUUCCUGUACUUGGUGUUACUGCGAAGGGGGGACGGAGAAGGCUAUGUUGGCCGGGCGACGGUUGUCCCGGUUUAAGCGUGUAGGCUGGUUUUCCAGGCAAAUCCGGAAAAUCAAGGCUGAGGCGUGAUGACGAGGCACUACGGUGCUGAAGCAACAAAUGCCCUGCUUCCAGGAAAAGCCUCUAAGCAUCAGGUAACAUCAAAUCGUACCCCAAACCGACACAGGUGGUCAGGUAGAGAAUACCAAGGCGCUUGAGAGAACUCGGGUGAAGGAACUAGGCAAAAUGGUGCCGUAACUUCGGGAGAAGGCACGCUGAUAUGUAGGUGAGGUCCCUCGCGGAUGGAGCUGAAAUCAGUCGAAGAUACCAGCUGGCUGCAACUGUUUAUUAAAAACACAGCACUGUGCAAACACGAAAGUGGACGUAUACGGUGUGACGCCUGCCCGGUGCCGGAAGGUUAAUUGAUGGGGUCAGCGCAANUACCCCAAACCGACACAGGUGGUCAGGUAGAGAAUACCAAGGCGCUUGAGAGAACUCGGGUGAAGGAACUAGGCAAAAUGGUGCCGUAACUUCGGGAGAAGGCACGCUGAUAUGUAGGUGAGGUCCCUCGCGGAUGGAGCUGAAAUCAGUCGAAGAUACCAGCUGGCUGCAACUGUUUAUUAAAAACACAGCACUGUGCAAACACGAAAGUGGACGUAUACGGUGUGACGCCUGCCCGGUGCCGGAAGGUUAAUUGAUGGGGUUAGCGGUAACNGUCAGGUAGAGAAUACCAAGGCGCUUGAGAGAACUCGGGUGAAGGAACUAGGCAAAAUGGUGCCGUAACUUCGGGAGAAGGCACGCUGAUAUGUAGGUGAAGCGACUUGCUCGUNGCGAAGCUCUUGAUCGAAGCCCCGGUAAACGGCGGCCGUAACUAUAACGGUCCUAAGGUAGCGAAAUUCCUUGUCGGGUAAGUUCCGACCUGCACGAAUGGCGUAAUGAUGGCCAGGCUGUCUCCACCCGAGACUCAGUGAAAUUGAACUCGCUGUGAAGAUGCAGUGUACCCGCGGCAAGACGGAAAGACCCCGUGAACCUUUACUAUAGCUUGACACUGAACAUUGAGCCUUGAUGUGUAGGAUAGGUGGGAGGCUUUGAAGUGUGGACGCCAGUCUGCAUGGAGCCGACCUUGAAAUACCACCCUUUAAUGUUUGAUGUUCUAACGUUGACCCGUAAUCCGGGUUGCGGACAGUGUCUGGUGGGUAGUUUGACUGGGGCGGUCUCCUCCUAAAGAGUAACGGAGGAGCACGAAGGUUGGCUAAUCCUGGUCGGACAUCAGGAGGUUAGUGCAAUGGCAUAAGCCAGCUUGACUGCGAGCGUGACGGCGCGAGCAGGUGCGAAAGCAGGUCAUAGUGAUCCGGUGGUUCUGAAUGGAAGGGCCAUCGCUCAACGGAUAAAAGGUACUCCGGGGAUAACAGGCUGAUACCGCCCAAGAGUUCAUAUCGACGGCGGUGUUUGGCACCUCGAUGUCGGCUCAUCACAUCCUGGGGCUGAAGUAGGUCCCAAGGGUAUGGCUGUUCGCCAUUUAAAGUGGUACGCGAGCUGGGUUUAGAACGUCGUGAGACAGUUCGGUCCCUAUCUGCCGUG